CAUCUCCUCCCCGCUGAUCCUCAACACGGGGGCCCCGCAAGGGUGCGUUCUGAGCCCUCUCCUGUACUCCCUGUUCACCCACGACUGCGUGGCCACGCACGCCUCCAACUCAAUCAUCAAGUUUGCGGACGACACAACAGUGGUAGGCUUGAUUACCAACAACGACGAGACGGCCUACAGGGAGGAGGUGAGGGCCCUCGGAGUGUGGUGUCAGGAAAAUAACCUCACACUCAACGUCAACAAAACUAAGGAGAUGAUUGUGGAAACAGCAGAGGGAACACCCCCCUAUCCACAUUGAUGGAACAGUAGUGGAGAGGGUAGCAAGUUUUAAGUUCCUCGGCAUACACAUCACAAGACAAACUGAAUUGGUCCACCCACACUGACAGCGUCGUGAAGAAGGCGCAGCAGCGCCUCUUCAACCUCAGGAGGCUGAAGAAAUUCGGCUGGUCACCAAAAGCACUCACAAACUUCUACAGAUGCACAAUCGAGAGCAUCCUGGCGGGCUGUAUCACCGCCUGGUACGGCAACUGCUCCGCCCUCAACCGUAAGGCUCUCCAGAGGGUAGUGAGGUCUGCACAACGCAUCACCGGGGGCAAACUACCUGCCCUCCAGGACACCUACACCACCCGAUGUUACAGGAAGGCCAUAAAGAUCAUCAAGGACAUCAACCACCCGAACCACUGCCUGUUCACCCCGCUAUCCUCCAGAAGGCGAGGUCAGUACAGGUGCAUCAAAGCUGGGACCGAGAGACUGAAAAACAGCUUCUAUCUCAAGGCCAUCAGACUGUUAAACAGCCACCACUAACAUUGAGUGGCUGCUGCCAACACACUGUCAUUGACACUGACCCAACUCCAGCCACUUUAAUAAUGGGAAUUGAUGGGAAAUGAUGUAAAUAUAUCACUAGCCACUUUAAACAAUGCUACCUUAUAUAAUGUUACUUACCCUACAUUAUUCAUCUCAUAUGCAUACGUAUAUACUGUACUCUAUAUCAUCGACUGCAUCCUUAUGUAAUACAUGUAUCACUAGCCACUUUAACUAUGCCACUUUGUUUUACUUUGUCUACAUACUCAUCUCAUAUGUAUAUACUGUACUCGAUACCAUCUACUGUAUGCUGCCCUGUACCAUCACUCAUUCAUAUAUCCUUAUGUACAUAUUCUUUAUCCCCUUACACUGUGUAUAAGACAGUAAUUUUGGAAUUGUUAGUUAGAUUACUUGUUGGUUAUCACUGCAUUGUCGGAACUAGAAGCACAAGCAUUUCGCUACACUCGCAUUAACAUCUGCUAACCAUGUGUAUGUGACAAAUUAAAUUUGAUUUGAUUUGAAAUUAAAUGCAGGCAGUGUUUCUCAGCCGGUAGAAAUCAUGAAUCGUGAUGUUUUGUUGGCUAGCUCCUCUGAGCAACGAGAGAGCACAUUUUAUAUUACAGGCGAAAUCGCGCCUCAUUAGCUCAUUGUUAAGGAUGUAUCCAAAUAAAUGUCACUAGAAAACAGCUUAAACAAGUUAAAAUGCCGCUACUGUUGUUAUUCUGGCUGCACUGUUUGACGUGACUGCAAGGGAUAACAACAUUGCCAGCCAGUAUGGCAUUGGAACAUUUAGAACAAAUGACUGGGUCACGUCCAUAGACAGAACAAAAAGACUGAGCGACUGGGUCGCGUCUCUGGCAACCGAACCGAUAAAGGAGCGACUAGCCGUAUUGGGUAGCAACCCUAGAUAUGGGACUAUAUCUUGUCCUUCUGUAGCUCAGUUGGUAGAGCAUGGCGCUUGUAACGCCAGGGUAGUGGGUUCGAUUCCCGGGACCACCCAUACGUAGAAUGUAUGCACACAUGACUGUAAGUCGCUUUGGAUAAAAGCGUCUGCUAAAUGGCAUAUAUUAUAUUAUAAGAACGAAAUAGUUUGAAUAAAUUCAUCAAAAUAACGUUUUGAAAGAUAAUGUCAAUCAUUAUUUGAAUAUGUUGGUAACCCGUUGUAUGGAGGACACCCAGUGUUUGGAGGAUAUAUUGGUACUUUGUCUCAGGCAUAAUAUAACCUGUGCCAAUAUAUCCAACAAACACCGGCUUCUCUGGCAUUAUCACUUAAAUAGAAUAUGGAAUAGAGUAGUAGAAUAUAGUAGAAAACGGAACAGAGUAGAGAACUUUCAAUGUCCCCUCAAGUUUCAGGAUGCAACCAUACUUUCUAUAACUCUACCCUUUCACACAGCAACAUUUAACUUGCAAUUAUUCUAAUUAGCUGCUCACCAAUUGGCUAAUUUUAAAUACAUUUGAAUUUGAAAACCUUACAGUACAGUGUGCCAGUCUUGUUGACAUCAUCCCAGCUACUUACAAUACAGCCAUUGAGUGGAAUUGACAAUACUUGGCUGAUAGAUUUACCAGACUGGGGUUCAGAAUGUUUACAUUUUACAUUUACAUUUAAGUCAUUUAGCAGACGCUCUUAUCCAGAGCGACUUACAAAUUGUUCUGCCAGACCAGGGUUCAGAAUGUUCUGCCAGACCAGGGUUCAGAAUGUUCUGCCAGACCAGGUUUCAGAAUGUUAUGCCAGACAGGGGUUCAGAAUGUUCUGCCAGACAGGGGUUCAGAAUGUUCUGCCAGACCGGGGUUCAGAAUGUUCUGCCAGACCAGGGUUCAGAAUGUUCUGCCAGACCAGGGUUCAGAAUGUUCUGCCAGACCAGGGUUCAGAAUGUUCUGCCAGACCAGGGUUCAGAAUGUUCUGCCAGACCAGGGUUCAGAAUGUUCUGCCAGACCAGGGUUCAGAAUGUUCUGCCAGACCAGGGUUCAGAAUGUUCUGCCAGACCAGGGUUCAGAAUGUUCUGCCAGACCAGGGUUCAGAAUGUUCUGCCAGACCAGGGUUCAGAAUGUUCUGCCAGACCAGGGUUCAGAAUGUUCUGCCAGACCAGGGUUCAGAAUGUUCUGCCAGACCAGGGUUCAGAAUGUUCUGCCAGACAGGGGUUCAGAAUGUUCUGCCAGACCAGGGUUCAGAAUGUUCUGCCAGACCGGGGUUCAGAAUGUUCUGCCAGACCGGGGUUCAGAAUGUUCUGCCAGUAAAGUGAGCCAUGCUUUGUUUUUUUCUCUCUCUCUGUCUGUCUUGUUCUCAUUUUUAUAUUUAUAUAUAUAUAUAUAUAAUAUAU